AUAUUUCUUAGUUGACUAUUUUGACUAUUUUAUUUUUUUUUGAUAAAAACAAAAAUUACCCAAGUACUGCCAAGGUGGAGCAAGAGGGUACAAGUGUUUUUUUUUUCAAAUUUAAAACACGAAUAAUCCCUACAAUAAUCAAUUCACUACAAAUAUAAGUAAAAAUUAAAAAGUUCAAGUUCGUUAAACCUACUAAGUAUACU
ensembl:ncRNA F47E1.15 ncRNA